rnacentral:rRNA from 1 species
CGUGCAGGCGGUCCUGUAAGUCGGACGUGAAAGCUCCUGGCUUAACUGGGAGAGGUCGUUCGAUACUGCGGGACUUGAGGUUGGGAGAGGGACGUGGAAUUCCCGGUGUAGUGGUGGAAUGCGUAGAGAUCGGGAGGAACACCAGUGGCGAAGGCGGCGUCCUGGCCCACACCUGACGCUGAGACGCGAAAGCGUGGGUAGCGAACG